rnacentral:rRNA from 1 species
UGGUAGUGAAGAAAGAUAGAGGUAGUAACUGGCCUUUAUUUGACGGUAAUUACCUAGAAAGUCACGGCUAACUACGUGCCAGCAGCCGCGGUAAUACGUAGGUGGCAAGCGUUGUCCGGAUUUAUUGGGCGUAAAGCGAGUGCAGGCGGUUCAAUAAGUCUGAUGUGAAAGCCUUCGGCUCAACCGGAGAAUUGCAUCAGAAACUGUUGAACUUGAGUGCAGAAGAGGAGAGUGGAACUCCAUGUGUAGCGGUGGAAUGCGUAGAUAUAUGGAAGAACACCAGUGGCGAAGGCGGCUCUCUGGUCUGCAACUGACGCUGAGGCUCGAAAGCAUGGGUAGCGAACAGGAUUAGAUACCCUGGUAGUCCAUGCCG